rnacentral:rRNA from 1 species
UACGAAGGGUGCAAACGUUGCUCGGAAUUAUUGGGCGUAAAGCGCACGUAGGCGGCUUUGCAAGUCCCAUGUGAAAGCCCACGGCUUAACCGUGGAAGUGCAUGGGAAACUGCAGAGCUUGAGUACUUAAGAGGAUCGCGGAAUUCCCGGUGUAGAGGUGAAAUUCGUAGAUAUCGGGAGGAACACCAGUGGCGAAGGCGGCGACCUGGGCCAACAUUGACGCUGAGGUGCGAAAGCGUGGGGAGCAAACAAG